rnacentral:tRNA from 1 species
GCCAUCGUAGCUCAGCGGAUUAGAGCACCUGCCUCCUAAGCAGGGUUGUCGCGGGUUCGAAUCCUGCCGGUGGUACCA